CAGUCGCCGCGGUAAUACGUAGGUGGCAAGCGUUGUCCGGAAUUAUUGGGCGUGAAGGGCUCGCAGGCGGUUUCUUAAGUCUGAUGUGAAAGCCCCCGGCUCAACCGGGGAGGGUCAUUGGAAACUGGGAAACUUGAGUGCAGAAGAGGAGAGUGGAAUUCCACGUGUAGCGGUGAAAUGCGUAGAGAUGUGGAGGAACACCAGUGGCGAAGGCGACUCUCUGGUCUGUAACUGACGCUGAGGAGCGAAAGCGUGGGGAGCGAACAGGAUUAGAUACCCGCGUAGUCCCUGUCUCUUAUAA
rnacentral:rRNA from 1 species